rnacentral:rRNA from 1 species
CCUCGGGGGGCAGCAGUGGGGAAUAUUGCACAAUGGGGGAAACCCUGAUGCAGCGACGCCGCGUGAGUGAAGAAGCGUUUCGGCGCGUAAAGCUCUGUCAGCGGGGAAGAAACACGGUUCGCGAGAGCCGCGGACGGUACCCGACCAAGAAGCUCCGGCUAACUACGUGCCAGCAGCCGCGGUAAUACGUAGGGGGCAAGCGUUAUCCGGAUUUACUGGGUGUAAAGGGAGCGUAGACGGCAUUGCAAGUCUGAUGUGAAAGAUUGGGGCUCAACCCCAGGCCUGCAUUGGAAACUGUAAAGCUG